CAACCCACUCCAGUAUUCUUGCUUGGAGAAUCCCCAUGGACAGAGGAGCCUGGCAGGCUACAGUCCAUGGGGUCAUAAAGAGUCGGUCAGAACUGAGCGACUAAGCACAGCACAGCAGCAGCAUCCUACCAAGAGCCACCUUCCAGGCCUGGGUCAGGCUCAUCCUCAGAUGGCAAACCAAACAACGCCAACAUCAGAGCACUAUGGCUUGUCACCAGCCUGAGCGUGUAGACUGAAUGUCAGAGUCUGGGAAAUCACAGGCUAGCAGGGUGGGCCCCAAACCUGGCUGAACCUGGAAUGAUGGAUUCCCCUCAACCUGCCCACCUCCAGGCGGGUUUCCGUGCACUUUAUGUGUCCCUUACUGUAAGCUGCUUGCCAUUAGCCUUGUGGUUCCCACUUGCCUGGAUAUCUUUGAAGCCCAAACCCUGGCUUGCUCAUAUUUGCAUCUUCUGUCCCUGUCACAGUUUGGGUUCCCUGGAAAGCAGCUUGAAGAGAUUGCAAUGUGCAGUGCUCCAGAUUGAGCAGAAGGAGAAGUUGGGCUACAAUGCAGGCCCAAUGAAGGCCUCAGUCAACCCCACAUUCUGGAGCUGGCAGAGGUGUUCUGAGUUGAGGCAAUGGGUCCAGCCUUAUUCCACCGAACUGAACAGUCUGAGUGUUGGCUGCCACUGGGAGGAGCAAUGACAUUAGAAGAGGACGUUUCAUCAGCUGAGGCAGUUGCGCUUAAGGGGUGACAGCUGAGGACUCACUGCCAUCGGUGUUCAGCACCCAGUGUGCCAAGUCUUUUAUUCCUGGAAGCUCAUCACAGCAACCACUCCCAUGCCCAGCACGUGAAGAAGUGCUCAGUAAAUGCUUGAGCGGACUUCCUCGGCAGUCCAGCAGUUAAGACUCUGCUGCUACUGCAGGGGAUGUGGGUUUGAUUCCUUCUUGGGGAACUAAGAUGCCACAUGCAAAAGCUUGAGAAGUGAAUAUUUGGGGGAAAUUGAGAAAAAGUAGGGAAUGACAUUGGAGAAGGAGAGCUUCCAGCCCUAAAGCCACAGGGUCAGAGCAGCAGAGAGGUGCACAGGCAAGGGCUUGUGGGCUCUGCCAGAAUGAGGAAGGGCUCCUUUUUCUGGGCCAAGCCUUGAUAUGAAAGCUUUGGGACAUGAUAUUAUGGAGGUAAAUUUUUGUUUUCUAAUGUCUCCUUCUUUCAAGAGAAUUGUUAAGAAAAUGACAGUCGUUAUUGAGCUGUUGUUACAUAACUGGCACUGUAGUUGCUUUACCUACACUAAAUCCUCACAACCCCCCGCACUGGCACAGUUGUCCCCUUUUUUAUAGAUGAGGAAAUGGAGUUGACACAGUGGGAGGAUACAGGAUCAUCUGACUCCAGAGCAUAGCUCUGAGUGGCCACACUGCCCUACUGCUCAGCUCCUAGUGUGACAUGCUGAAUAGUGAGGAUUUAUUAAUUCUGUCACUUAAAACUCAUCAUUAAUUGCAUGGGACGGGAAGUGAGGGGUUUGAAGAUGCUUCUCUCAGGAGAACAAGCUGAUGAGUAAGGAAUACCUCACACAAUGGCUGACACAAUCUAAGUGCUCAGUGAUUGGUUCAUUAAGUGAUUCAAAAUGUGUGGUAUAGUGGGAAAGUCAUGCACUGGGAUUAGCCUAGCUCUCCCACCGACUGCAUGUGUGCUAAGUCACUUCAGUCAUGUCCAACUCUGCAACCUUAUGGGCUGUAGCCUGCCAAGUGCUUCAGUCCAUGGGAUUCUCCAGGCAAGAAUACUGGAGUGGGUUGUCAUUUCCUCCUCCAAGGGAUCUUCCUGAGCCAGGGAUCAAACCUGCUUCUCUUGCAUCUCCUGCACUGGCAGGUGGGUUCUUUACCACUAGCACUACCUGGCAAGCCCCACCACUGACUGCAUCUUAGGCAAAUCAAUGUCUCCAGAGUAAAUUAUCCUUAUCCAUAAAAUGGGCAUAAUGCAGUUUAUCUUGCCCAUUUCAUGGGUAGGAGAAAGGGUUAAAUUAGAUAAGUUCCUGUGUAAAUGGAAUAAUUUUUUUAAUAAACUGUAAAAUGUCAUAGAUCCAGAGGGUGUCAUUUCAUGGGAGGAGUGAGAAGACAGCAGCCUGGAGCCUCCUCUGGAGACAGGCAGACUCUCACGAGCACAGACAAGCACUCCAGGCCAUCAUCAAGAUGAUGGCCCCAGGAGGCCCACCCCACAGUCCUCAUCUGCUAAACCAAGAAUCAGAAAGCCUGAAUGCAGGAGCACAGCAUGAAACUCUGCCUGGAACCCACUGAGUUGCAUGGGGAGAGGCAGAAAUCACCAUGCAAUUUCAGCCCAUACUAAUAAUAUGUGUUCAGAUACCUCUGUGCCUGCAGAGAUGGGGUGGUAACCGAGGUAUCCAGGUCUCCAGCCUUCUCACAUCUUCCGGAUCGGCUGUUCUCAACUUUGCUCUACAGCUAUUCAUACAGUGGGCGAUCUCUUAUCAUGCAUGCCGGACUUCCCUGGCCUGGUGGCUCAGUGGUAAAGAAUCUGACUGCCAAUGCAGGAGACAAUGGUUCAAUCCCUGGUCGGGGAGAAUCCCAUAUGCUGUGGAGUAACUAAGCCCUUGCACUACAACUACUGAGGUCUGCGUGCCUUAGAGCCCCUGGUCCGCAACAAGAGAAGCCACCCCAACAAGAAGCCCAGCUACUGCGACAAAGAGUAGCCCCCCCGGUUGCCACAACUAAAGAAAAGCCCAUGCAGCAACGAAGAUGCAGCAGCACAGC